UAGCUGUGGUUUCUCUUAAGUCAUGCAUGAAUCUUUCGUCUUUUGUUAAAGAUUUCCGUGGAGUGGAACAUCAUUUAGUUUAAUGUAUUUACUUGUGCUUUGUUCUGGCAAUGCU